rnacentral:rRNA from 1 species
UACAGAGGUCUCAAGCGUUGUUCGGAUUCAUUGGGCGUAAAGGGUGCGUAGGUGGCGCGCUAAGUCAGGUGUGAAAUUUCGGAGCUUAACUCCGAAACUGCAUUUGAUACUGGCGUGCUUGAGGACUGGAGAGGAGACUGGAAUUCAUGGUGUAGCAGUGAAAUGCGUAGAGAUCAUGAGGAACACCUGUGGCGAAAGCGGCGCACUGGACCAUAACUGACGCUGAGGCGCGAAAGCCAGGGGAGCAAACGGG